AGAGUUUGAUCAUGGCUAGGAUGAACGUUGGCGGUGUGCCUAAUACAUGCAAGUCGAACGGAGUUAGUAGCAAUACUGGCUCAGUGGCGAACGGGUGAGUAACGCGUUGGUGAUCUGCCUUGAAGUGUGGAAUAACGUUUCGAAAGGAACGCUAAUACCGCAUGUGCUCUCGAUUUUCAGAAAGUUGAGAGUAAAGGAUUUAUUCGCUUCAAGAGGAGCCUGCGUCCCAUCAGCUGGUUGGUAGGGUAACGGCCUACCAAGGCUAUGACGGGUAGGGGACCUGAGAGGGUGGCCCCCCACAAUGGAACUGAAACACGGUCCAUACACCUACGGGUGGCAGCAGUAGGGAAUAUUAGAAAUGGACGAAAGUCUGAUCUAGCAACACCGCGUGUGCGAAGAAGGCCUUCGGGUCGUAAAGCACUUUUGGAAGGAAUAGGAAGGAAUGUACUUCCAGAAUAAGUCUCGGCUAACUACGUGCCAGCAGCCGCGGUAAUA
rnacentral:rRNA from 1 species